rnacentral:rRNA from 1 species
GAUGAACGCUGGCGGCGUGCUUAACACAUGCAAGUCGAACGAUGAAGCCCAGCUUGCUGGGUGGAUUAGUGGCGAACGGGUGAGUAACACGUGAGUAACCUGCCCUUAACUCUGGGUUAAGCCUGGGAAACUGGGUCUAAUACCGGAUAGGAGCGUCCACCGCAUGGUGGGUGUUGGAAAGAUUUAUCGGUUUUGGAUGGACUCGCGGCCUAUCAGCUUGUUGGUGAGGUAAUGGCUCACCAAGGCGACGACGGGUAGCCGGCCUGAGAGCGUGACCGGCCACACUGGGACUGAGACACGGACCAGACUCCUACGGGAAGCAGCAGUGGGGAAUAUUGCACAAUGGGCGCAAGCCUGAUGCAGCGACGCCGCGUGAGGGAUGACGGCCUUCGGGUUGUAAACCGCUUUCAGUAGGGAAGAAGCGAAAGUGACGGUACCUGCAGAAGAAGCACCGGCUAACUACGUG